AGGAAGUAAAAGUCGUAACAAGGUUUCCGUAGGUGAACCUGCGGAAGGAUCAUUAUUGAAUAAAACUUGGGUUUGGGCUGUUGCUGGCUCCUAGGAGCAUGUGCACGCUCAGACACCAUCUUUAAAACCCACCUGUGCACCUUUGUAGGCUUGAAUAACUAUUUUCGAGGUCCACCAGAACUCGGUUUGAGGAUUGCUGCCAAGCUGUCCUUGUAUAUUAAUUAUUCAGGCCUAUGUCUUUAUAACACACACCAUAUGAAUGUCUAGAAUGUUUAUUAUGUCGGGACUUUGUGCCUACAAAUCUAAUACAACUUUCAACAACGGAUCUCUUGGCUCUCGCAUCGAUGAAGAACGCAGCGAAAUGCGAUAAGUAAUGUGAAUUGCAGAAUUCAGUGAAUCAUCGAAUCUUUGAACGCACCUUGCGCUCCUUGGUAUUCCGAGGAGCAUGCCUGUUUGAGUGUCAUUUAAAUUCUCAACCUUCUCAGCUUUUGUUAGCUGGGUCAAGGCUUUGGAUGUGGGGGUUGCGGGCUUCACAGAAGUCGGCUCUCCUUAAAUGCAUUAGCCAGAACCUUUAGCUGACCAUCUCUGAUGUGAUAAUCUAUCUACAUCAUUGGGAAAGCAGCUCUCAUGUGAGAGAGAGGGUUCAGCUUCUAAUAGUCCUUUACUGGACAAUCUUAUUGACAAUUGACCUCAAAUCA
rnacentral:rRNA from 1 species